GGAAGUAAAAGUCGUAACAAGGUUUCCGUAGGUGAACCUGCGGAAGGAUCAUUAAAGUUAUAGUCCCCCGGCCCUCUGGGCUGGGGUCUUCUAUACCACCCUUUGUUUAUUACACCUUUGUUGCUUUGGCAGGCCUGCCCUCGGGCUGCUGGCUCCGGCCGGCUCGCGUCUGCCAGAGGACCUAAACUCUGUUUGUAUAUGAAGUCUGAGUACUAUAUAAUAGUUAAAACUUUCAACAACGGAUCUCUUGGUUCUG
rnacentral:misc_RNA from 1 species